rnacentral:rRNA from 1 species
AUUGAACGCUGGCGGCAGGCCUAACACAUGCGAGUCGAACGGUAACAGGAAGCAGCUUGCUGCUUUGCUGACGAGUGGCGGACGGGUGAGUAAUGUCUGGGAAACUGCCUGAUGGAGGGGGAUAACUACUGGAAACGGUAGCUAAUACCGCAUAACGUCGCAAGACCAAAGAGGGGGACCUUCGGGCCUCUUGCCAUCGGAUGUGCCCAGCUGGGAUUAGCUAGUAGGUGGGGUAACGGCUCACCUAGGCGACGAUCCCUAGCUGGUCUGAGAGGAUGACCAGCCACACUGGAACUGAGACACGGUCCAGACUCCUACGGGAGGCAGCAGUGGGGAAUAUUGCACAAUGGGCGCAAGCCUGAUGCAGCCAUGCCGCGUGUAUGAAGAAGGCCUUCGGGUUGUAAAGUACUUUCAGCGGGGAGGAAGGGAGUAAAGUUAAUACCUUUGCUCAUUGACGUUACCCGCAGAAGAAGCACCGGCUAACUCCGUG